CCUACGGGAGGCAGCAGUGGGGAAUAUUGGACAAUGGGGGGAACCCUGAUCCAGCCAUGCCGCGUGUGUGAAGAAGGCCCUCGGGUUGUAAAACACUUUCAGUGAGGAAGAACGCCUGGUGGUUAAUACCCAUCAGGAAAGACAUCACUCACAGAAGAAGCACCGGCUAACUCCGUGCCAGCAGCCGCGGUAAUACGGAGGGUGCGAGCGUUAAUCGGAAUUACUGGGCGUAAAGCGCGCGUAGGUGGCUUGAUAAGCCGGUUGUGAAAGCCCCGGGCUCAACCUGGGAACGGCAUCCGGAACUGUCAAGCUAGAGUGCAGGAGAGGAAGGUAGAAUUCCCGGUGUAGCGGUGAAAUGCGUAGAGAUCGGGAGGAAUACCAGUGGCGAAGGCGGCCUUCUGGACUGACACUGACACUGAGGUGCGAAAGCGUGGGUAGCAAACAGGAUUAGAUACCCCAGUAGUC
rnacentral:rRNA from 1 species